rnacentral:lncRNA from 1 species
GUAUGUUUUCAUUGUCCUCCUCUUUUACUUCCCAGUAUAAUUUCAGUACAGAUUACCCUGUGAAUAGUACUGACUGUAGGAAAGUUGCCUAACAGAUGUUACAGACCUGAUUUUAGUUGACUGUUUCUUAUGGUUAUUUCAAGAUCAACCUGUUCUAUCUGCUGUGAAGGUGUUCAGAGUCAUGCCUCUUGGGGUAUGUUUAACAGAUCUUCUGUCGCUACAGGUUCAGAUAGAUUUGAUUUACUUUGCCAGCCUGCCUCCCAGUUAGUGACAGCCUUUUUCUUCCGUUGUUCUUGCAGCCAGGUAUGGAAGAUCUGACUGUGACAUGCACUUUCACAUGGAACUCCUCACGGAAAAUGCAGCUCCUUGCAGGUGAUGUCAUUAAAUCAAUGGUGGAAGUCACACAAGGUAAGCAACUAUGGCUCUUUGUGUGUCUUUUUAAAAAGACGCACAUUUAUCAGAGAGAUUCAUUAUUAAAAAGUGAUGGUGGAGAGAUAAAUCAGUGUUGGUUUUAAAGGUUAGAUCAGUUAUAUGGGUCUUCAAAGCAUGUGCUGUUUUUAUCAUAAUUAAGAGCUCUUCUUAACAAGAUCAUCUUUUUUUCUGCUUUAAAUGCAUAUUUUAAUGUUGGGUCUGACUUUAUGGCUCCUGUAUCCUAAAAAAGAGCUCUCUGGAGGAUGAGUUUCUUCCAUCAUAGAAACUUUUGAGUCUUCAGGAGUUUUGCUGCAUAAACAAAACUCAUUAAUAUUUCUGGGAGACCAAAAUGUAUAGAGUUUGAGCUAAUUCUUGUACUGAUUGAC